GCCCGGUUGGUCUAGUGGUAUGAUUGUUGCUUCGGGUUUCUCCCCGAGAAUUAAACUUCUCAAAUGUGACAGGUCUCCGGUUCGAUCCCGGAAUCGGGCC